AUGAUUUGUGCUUUUGGUGUUCUUGCUUCCAGCGUCUACUUUAGGCUCAGAAGGAAAAGAAGUUUACAGGAGACAAUCACUCUUAUACUCUUCCAUGGUCACAAACAAGAGGUCCCUGGAUCUAUAGAAAUGAAAGAAUCAGAGCAUUACAACAGAAUGAAUCCUGGAAUGGGAAUGGAUUUGUGGCACAGUUGGGAAGCAUCCUGGCCAUGCCAUGUUAAAGGUAUGCCUUAUGGCAAGUUAUUUAGCUUUUCUGAGAUUUUGUGAAGUGAGAAUGGUAUUAAAUUUGUCACAGGUUUAAGUAAUUUAAAUGUAUGUAAUUCCUAGCAUGAAACCUGGAGCAACUAACUUGAUAAAUGCUAGUUCUCUUUUUGCCUUUUCUGACUUUUUGUUUUAUUGUUGUUUGCUUGCUUGUAAAUAUAAUUUUUUACUCCGUAAAACAAAGGAAGAGUUUUUAGAAAGCAAGAUGGCAUUUAUAGAAAAAUCUUUAAACUUUACUUUUUACUUAAUAAUUUUCUUUAUGUAAAUGUGUGCUAAAAUAAUGGUUCAAAUAAAAAAGUACAGAGUUAUAGCAAUCCAUCAUUGCUUCAGAUAUGUCCUUCCUGAUCAUUCUGCUGCUUGCCUUAUUUUAAAAAGCACAUACUUUCUUCACCCUUAUUUUUAAAAAUCACUUGUGCUAUUUGCUUCUUAUUCUCCUAUUAAUGUUUUCAUGUAGUCAGAUUAUUCUCUUCCUCAAAUCAUUAAUAAAAAUAGACCAGUUAAGUCCCCUGGGCUUAACAUGAAUCACUCCCUUCUAAAAAAAAAAGUCAAACAGCCUUAUUUCUUUAAUCUAUGAAGUCAUUUUCUAGGAGAAGCAAAAUGCUGGAUUAUAACCCAUUUUGUGUGUUCCUGCAUCUAUGGAGAGAUAUUUCAUAGUAAUAAUUAUGCCAAUCUUUCAUAAUAUUUGGUCAAAGCAGAGUACACUAAGAAAACAGUCAAGAAAGCACUCAAAGUAGAGGAAAGAGAACUUGUCUUGACUGGUCAGUUGCUACAUGCUCAUCCUUAUAUUGGGUUCUUCCAAAAUGUUGCUUUGACAAAACACCCUGAGUAAGCCUUUUAAUCUUCCAUUUUCUGAACAUGAAACUAAAGCCCCAACAUUUCAAAUGACUUGAAAUACAGACCAUGAAUUUGAACAAAGGGCUUCUUGACUUUAAAAUCUAUGUUCUUAUUUCUAUUCCUAGUUGCCUCCAAGGCAGUGAUUCUUACCCUUGGCUACACAUUGGAAUCAUCUGGGAAGCUGAAAAAAAAAAAACAAUGCCCAGGACCUGGGCAAGAUGGCUGAAUAAGAACAGCUCUGGUCUGCAGCUCCCAGCAAGAUCAACACAGAAGGUAAGUAAUUUCUGCAUUUCCAACUGAGGUACCUGGCUUAUCUCAUUGGGACUGGUUAGACAGUGGGGGCAGCCCACAGAGGGCGAGCAGAAGCAGGGUGGGGUAUCACCUUACCCAGGAAGCGAAAGGGGUUGGGGAACUCCUUCCCCUCACUAAGGGAAGCCGUGAAAGACUGUGCCAUGAUGAAUGGUACAUUCUGGCCCAGAUACUAUGCUUUUCCCAUAGUCUUUGCAACCCGCAGACCAGAGAUUCCCUCGGGUGCCUACACCACCUGGGCCCUGCCUGGGUUUCAAGCACAAAACUGGGUGGCUAUUUGGGCAGAAACCGAGCUAGUUGAAGGAUGUUUUUCUUAUACCCCAGUGGCACCUGGAACACCAGUGAGACAGAAGCGUUUGCUCCCCCAGAAAGGGGGCUGAAGCCAGAGAGUCAAGUGGUCUAACUUAGCAGAUCUCACACCCGCAAAGCCCAGCAAGCUAAUAUCCACUGGCUUGAAAUUCUCGCUGCCAGCACAGCAGUCUGAAGUCGACCUGGGACACUUGAGCUUAGUAGGGGAAGGGGCAUCCGCCGUUACUGAGGCUUGAGUACGAUUUUCCCCUCACAGUGUAAACAAAGCUGCUGGGAAGUUCAAACUGGGCAGAGCCCACUGCAGCACUGCAAAGCCGCUAGUAGCCACACUCCCUCUCUAGAUUCCUCCUCUCUGGGCAGGGCAUCUCUGAAAGAAAGGCAGCAGCCCCAGUCAGGGGCUUAUAGAUAAAAUUCCCGUCUACCUGGGACAGAACACCUGGGGGAAGGGGCAGCUAUGGGCACAGGUUCAGCAGACUUAAACGUUCCUGCCUGUGGGCUCUGAAGAGAGCAGCGGAUCUCCCAGCACAGUGUUCGAGCUCUGCUAAGGGACAGACUGCCUCCUCAAGUGGGUCCCUGAGCCUUGUGCCUCCUGAACAGGAGACAUCUCAGCAGGGGUUGACAGACACCUCAUAUAGGAGAGCUCCAGCUGGCAUCUGGCAGGUGGCCAUUUUGGAAGAAGCUUCCAGAGGAAGGAACUGGCAGCAAUCUUUUCUGUUCUGCAGCCUCCAUUGGUGAUACCAGGCAAACAGGGUCUGGAGUGAACUUCUAGCAAACUCCAGCAGACCUGCGGCAGAGGGACUGAAUAUUAGAAGGAAAACUAAUAAACAGAAAGAAAUAGCAUCAACAUCAAUAAAAAGGACGUCCACACAAAAACCCCAUCUGCAGGUCACCAACAUCAAAGACCAAAGGUAGAUAAAUCCAUAAAGAUGAGGAAAAACCAGCACAAAAAGGCUGAACAUUCCAAAACCAGAACACCUCUCCUCCUCCAAAGGAUCACAACUCCUUGCCAGCAAGGGAACAAAACUGGACGGAGAAUGAGUUUGACAAACUGACCGAAGUAGGCUUCAGAAGGUGGGUAAUAACAAACUCUUCCAAGCUAAAGGAGCAUGUUCUAACCCAAUGCAAGCAAGCUAAGAACUUUGAAAACUGUUAGACGAAUUGCUAACUAGAAUAACCAGUUUAGAGAAGAACAUAAAUGACCUGAUGGAGCUGAAAAACAUAACAUGGAAACUUUGUGAGGCAUACACACAUAUCAAUAGCUGAAUCGAUCAAGCAGAAGAAAAGAUAUCAGAGAUGGAAGAUCAACUUAAUCAAAUAAAGCGUGAAGACAAGAUUAGAGAAAAAAGAAUGAAAAGGAACUAACAAAGCCUCCAAGAAAUAUGGGACUAUGUGAAAAGACCAAACCUACAUUUAAUUGAUGUACCUGAAAGUGAUGGGGAGAAUGGAACCAAGCUGGAAAACACUCUUCAGGAUAUUAUCCAGGAGAACUUCCCCAACCUAGCAAGACAGGCCAACAUUCAAAUUCAGGAAAUACAG
rnacentral:lncRNA from 1 species